CAGCCCCAGAAUGUCAGAGCAGGGCUGUAUGUUUCUCAAGUUCGAUUGAAAUAACCAUUCUGAGUAAGAAAGAAAACAAAGGUACGGAUGAUUAACAUUUGUUUCAAACUUUUGGGCUCUUAAGGGGUUUUGGGAAAGUUUUGUGUUAUAGUUUGGUUAAACUGAAUUCAAAUAUGUUAGUAUUGUAUUUAAGAACAUAUAUAAGAAGAGAGAUGGGGUAAGAGUAAACAUAAAUAGACCCACCCCCCCCAAAAAAAAAUGGUGACAUAAAUGAUGAAUUCUUCGGGAGCUGAUGAAAGUAACUGAAACCUUGUGUUGAGAUUAGUGUCAAGGAGGGUGGGAAUUAGAUUAAUUCUCACUGGUGUCCAGAUUUAGCCUUUCACAAAGCACCAAGUGUAUUAACGUCUUCGCUCCUCUGGUUAGGGUGUGUUCCUCAUAAUCUUGUUCAGGACGUCACUUUGAAAUGCAUCUGUUGGUUGUGUGGACACUGUUCACCUGGUGUGUCAGUUGUAGUUUCGAUACUCUUAAAGCUCAUUAAGACCUCCAGUUCAGCCACAGCAACACCAGAUCCGAGCCAUAUCUGUGACCCACACCAUAGCUCAUGGCAAUGCCAGAUCCUUAACCCACUGAGCAAGGCCAGGGGUCGAACCUGCAACCUCAUGGUUACUAGUCAGAUUCGUUAACCACUGAGCCACAACAGGAACUCCAGUGAGGAACUGAUUUUAAUACCUACUAAGUCACUCAACCAAGUGAAAAUAGCUUCCUACAUCUGUAGACAUCACUCUGCCAAAGAUGAUUCAAGAUGCUAAAUGUAAGCACUGUUUGUGAAAAAAACCAUGUAUUAGUGCAUGAAAAUUACGUAAAACUAUGUAUUUUUGACUUUGCAUUUGAAGUAUUAUAUGUCUCCUUAUAACUUUAGAAAUAAGACCUCUUAUUUACAAAUGCCAUAAAAUGCCUUAGGGAUCAACGUAAAAUGGUAAGAUCUUUUAUUUUUAUGUGAAAACCCACGUUUUAAGUAUUUUUAAAAUCUGCUAAAUUAGAUUUCUCUCUGAGGCAGGUUGUAAUAUUUGUAUGUAAAUGGUCUUGGAUCUAACAUUAUGGAUAUGAAAGAUCCACAACACUCAAGGUCAUCUUCAUAGAUCACCUGGUCUAAUCCCCUUUCUCUCAUUGUCCCUGAAGAGGCCAAAACAGUGGCCUUGGUCCUGUGGAUUUCUAGCUCUACCUGGAAUAUAACAGAUGCUGAAGGUGUGUUGAUGAAAUAGCUGAAACCCUUUUCCUACAUUCAGUGAUUUAUUAAGUUAACCAUUAAAAAUCUGUUUAAUGUCCAUUUAAAUCCAGAUAAAUGCCCAUUUAAAUCCAUAUAAAGCCUUAUAUCUGGGAUAUAAGGGCAAAAGAGAUAUGAUUAUGAUUCUUAUCCUCAAGGGCUUUACGGUCUAUUAUAAGAAGAGGACAAAUAAGCAAAGAAGGGCAAUGCAUCUUCCCAGUAUUAUGAUCUAUGUUAAAACAAGGUGCAUGUGGGGCACAAAGAAAGCUUGACCAGUUCUCCUUGAAGCAGGGAUAGAAGUUUACUUAAAGAGCUGUGUUUUAAGCCUUUUUAGGAAGAUGAAACAUUAUAAUUUUUUUAAAAAAGCAGUCUUGAUUUUUUUUUUAUAAAGUAGAACCCCCCCCCAAAUUUCCCUAUAUCUAUUCCAGCUUCUCUGAUCUUCCCAUUAGGAAAUUCUUUAUAUCUUACUCAAAUUCCUCAGGAUGCAUUUUUUAACUUGAAGUUCCUUAGUUUCUCCAGGGAGGAUAGAAAAUAACCAAUUGGUAUCCCUUAUUUAGCAAUCUGAAUUUUUGGCAGUCUGUAUUGCUGGAUCCACACCAAAAAGAUUAAAUAUAACUGGAAUAAACAUAAAGUCCUAUAUUUAAAUUGAGAAUGUUAUCAUACAUUUAAAAGAUAAGAGAGGGAGGUCUUACAUGAAAUAAAUAAAUAAAUAAAUAAAUAAAUAAAUAAAAGAACUCUGAGGGUUUUAUUUGGCUGCAAAUUUAAAUAUGUCUAUUGCAGGAUGUAGCUGCUAGAAACCUGUCUUGCUCACAGUUGGCAUUAAUGGACACAGUCUUCAUAUCACAGACUUAUGCCCACUGUGCUGGGCCCUAGGCUGAAAAUACUUGAAAAAUAAUCAAUUUGGUUCUGUGUGUCACAUUGAAGAAUAUGGAAAGCCUGAAGCUUCUCCUGAAGAAAACCAUCAUGUAUGCACCUCUAGACUAGCCCUUUCCUGCAUCUUGACCUUCGGUUCCAACCAUAUCCUGAGCAGCUCUCUCACCUGGUUUAUAACAGUUCUCAAUUGUUGACUCACUUCUUCCAUCCAUAUUAAGUUCUCUAAAAUUGAAUCAGCCUUCCUUGCCUUUGACAAGCUUCCAUUCCCAGCACCUCUGCUCUGCAUCCACCCAGAUGGAAGACUUGGGUGUUUUGUUUUGUUUUUAACCUCUCCCCUUUGCCUCCACUUUUCUGACCCUUGGUACUAGAGACAUGACUUAUGUGCUUCCUUGCCUUUCCUAUAGCUAUAAUCAGCUAAUCAUUCUUCCGUCUCUUGUAUUCAGUUCACAGUUAAGGUGAAAAAAAUAUGGUUACACUACUUUACAUACUAGAACAAGGACUUCUAAACUUUCUUCUUGGGAAGGGUUUUGUUUUGUCUUGUUUUGUUUACCAUUUUAAAGUGAAGGCAGGAGUUCUCAUUGUGGUUCAGUGGGUUAAGAACCUAACUGGUAUCCAUGAGGAUGCAGGUUCUUUCCCUGACCUCACUCAGUGGGUUAGUGGGAUCCAGUAUUGCCACAAGCUGUGGUAUAGGUCACAGAUGUAGGUCAGAUCCCACAUUGCUGUGGCUGUGGUGUAGGCCGGCAGCUGCAUCUCUGAUUCAACCCCUAGCCCGGGAACUUCCAUAUGCCACAGGUAUGGCCCU
rnacentral:lncRNA from 1 species